UGCUCGUGCAAGGCAGUAGAGUGAUAUCUCAAUCCGCCUGCUUUUCUUCUCUAUUGCCAGGGCUAGACCAGUGGGAAACGUCCCAAUUGCCAACAUUGGAAUGUUACAUCUCCUGAAGAUUCUAAAGAGCACGCACGUCCACAUCCAGGCAGAUGAGCAAUAUGUGGAUAGGAACAAGCUUGAUCUUGCAGUACCAAUAAGACCCUUCCCCAGUAUGCUGUUAGGACUUUUCAAGAGGCCUUGACGAUGAACUAUCAAUGCAGGAAUCAAGUAUACAGGGAGAUAUACAGGGAGUGCUCUUUUGUACGCUUGAAUGAGAAAAGAUAUAACAUGUCCACUACAUGACUGAUUUCC
rnacentral:misc_RNA from 1 species